rnacentral:piRNA from 1 species
UGACUCGAUAGAUUGCUCACU